CAGCCGCCGCGGUAAAACGUAGGUGGCAAGCGUUGUCCGGAAUUAUUGGGCGUAAAGGGCUCGCAGGCGGUUUCUUAAGUCUGAUGUGAAAGCCCCCGGCUCAACCGGGGAGGGUCAUUGGAAACUGGGAAACUUGAGUGCAGAAGAGGAGAGUGGAAUUCCACGUGUAGCGGUGAAAUGCGUAGAGAUGUGGAGGGACACCAGUGGCGAAGGCGACUCUCUGGUCUGUAACUGACGCUGAGGAGCGAAAGCGUGGGGAGCGAACAGGAUUAGAUACCCCCGUAGUCCCUGUCUCUUAUAA
rnacentral:rRNA from 1 species